rnacentral:misc_RNA from 1 species
UGGAGGAGGCCACUGGCGGUCA